rnacentral:tRNA from 1 species
AAAAAGAUAAGCUAAAUAAGCUAAUGGGUUCAUAUCCCACCUAUAGAAGUCUCAAUCUUCUUCUUUUUA